rnacentral:rRNA from 1 species
UACGUAGGGCGCAAGCGUUGUCCGGAAUUAUUGGGCGUAAAGAGCUCGUAGGUGGUUUGUCGCGUCUGUCGUGAAAUCCCCCGGCUUAACCUGGGAACUGCGUCUGAUACUGGGAGGCUUGAGUAUGGGAGAGGGAUGUAGAAUUCCAGGUGUAGCGGUGAAAUGCGUAGAUAUCUGGAGGAAUACCGGUGGCGAAGGCGGCAUCCUGGACCAUAACUGACGCUGAGGCGCGAAAGCUAGGGGAGCAAACGGG